AUGAACGCUAGCGACAGGCCUAACACAUGCAAGUCAGGGGCAGCACAAGGAGCAAUCUGAGGUGGCGACCGGCGCACGGGUGAGUAACACGUAUGCAACCUGCCUGUAAGCGGGGAAUAACCCGUUGAAAGACGGACUAAUACCGCAUAAUACUAAAUUACUGCAUGGUAAUUUAUUUAAACAUUUAUGGCUUACAGAUGGGCAUGCGCAUGAUUAGCUAGUUGGAGAGGUAACGGCUCCCCAAGGCAACGAUCAUUAGGGGUUCUGAGAGGAAGGUCCCCCACACUGGUACUGAGACACGGACCAGACUCCUACGGGAGGCAGCAGUGAGGAAUAUUGGUCAAUGGACGAGAGUCUGAACCAGCCAAGUCGCGUGCAGGAAGAAUGUCCCAAUGGAUUGUAAACUGCUUUUGCAGGGGAAUAAAGUGCAUCACGUGUGAUGUUUUGUAUGUACUCUGCGAAUAAGGAUCGGCUAACUCCGUGCCAGCCGCAGC
rnacentral:rRNA from 1 species